rnacentral:rRNA from 1 species
UACGGAGGGUGCGAGCGUUGUCCGGAAUCACUGGGCGUAAAGGGCGCGUAGGUGGCCGAGCAAGGUCGCGGUGAAAGCCCGGGGCUCAACCCCGGGUCGGCCGUGGCAACUACUGGGCUGGAGCACUGUAGGGGCGGGUGGAAUUCCGGGUGUGGCGGUGGAAUGCGUAGAGAUCCGGAAGAACACCGGUGGCGAAGGCGGCCCGCUGGGCAGUUGCUGACACUGAGGCGCGACAGCGUGGGGAGCAAACAGG